AUGUAUCAUGGCGGCCCGGGCAUGUCUCCUGCUGCCGCCGGCGGUCGUGGCGGCACGGCCAGGAAGGUCGCGCCAUGGAUCCUCGCCUGCGGCUUCCUGCUCUGCUCGUCCGUCCUUUUCCUGGUCAUACGCAAGUACGUAAGGUCGUCUCCUAGAUCGCAUCCCGGCGAAUCCAGUCAGAGAGCUGAAGGCGCCAUUGGUGUGAACUACGGCAUGAUCGCCAACAACCUGCCGACGCCGGACAAGGUGAUCGCCAUGUACAAGGCCAACAAAAUCAGCUACGUCCGCCUCUUCCACCCGGACACGACCGUCCUCACCGCGCUCCGGGGCACGGGCAUCGGCGUCGUCCUCGGCACGCUCAACGAGGACCUCGCCCACCUCGCCUCCGACGAGUCCUUCGCGGCCUCGUGGGUGGCCUCCUACGUCAAGCCCUUCGCCGGCGCCGUGACGUUCCGGUACAUCACGGCCGGCAACGAGGUCAUCCCGGGCGACCUUGGCACGCACGUCCUCCUCGCCAUUAGGAACAUCGAGACCGCGCUCAAGGCGGCGGGCGUCACCGGCGUCCCGGUCACGACGGCCGUGGCCACGUCAGUGCUGGGCGUCUCGUACCCGCCGUCGCAGGCCGCGUUCUCUGAGGCGUCGGCGCCGGUGAUGGCGCCGCUGGUGGCGUACCUGUCGGCGAAGAAGGCGCCGCUGCUGGUGAACGUGUACCCGUACUUCGCGUACGCGGCGGAGCCGGAGACGGUGCAGCUCGGGUACGCGCUGCUGGCCGGGUCGAGCGCGACGUCCAAGAUCAAGGUGGCAGCUGUGGCGGACGGCGGGCUGGUGUACACCAACAUGUUCGACGCGAUCCUGGACGCGGCGCACGCGGCGGUGGAGAAGGCCGGCGCGCAGGGGCUGGAGCUGGUGGUGUCGGAGACCGGGUGGCCGUCGGGCGGCGGCGGGACGGGCGCCACCGUGGAGAACGCGGCGGCGUACAACAACAACGUGAUCCAGCACGCGGCGUCGGGCGCCGGCACGCCGCGGCGGCCGGGCAAGGCCGUGGAGACGUACCUGUUCGCCAUGUUCAACGAGAACCAGAAGCCCGAGGGCACGGAGCAGCACUUCGGGCUCUUCCAGCCGGACAUGAGCGCCGUCUACCCCGUCGACUUCGCCGCCGGCGCCUACUGA
rnacentral:rRNA from 1 species